rnacentral:rRNA from 1 species
UACAGAGGUCUCAAGCGUUUGUUCGGAUUCAUUGGGCGUAAAGGGUGCGUAGGCGGCGCGGUAAGUCGGGGUGUGAAAUCUCGGAGCUUAACUCCGAAACUGCAUUCGAUACUGCCGUGCUUGAGGACUGGAGAGGAGACUGGAAUUUACGGUGUAGCGGUGAAAAUGCGUAGAUAUCGUAAGGAAGACCAGUGGCGAAGGCGGGUCUCUGGACAGUUCCUGACGCUGAGGCACGAAGGUCAGGGGGAGCGAACAGG